AGAGAAGAAAUGGAAAAAAAAAAAAAAUCAGAAAAAAUGAAAAAAAUGAUAGCCGUUGGAUUCGAGGGUUCGGCCAAUAAGAUCGGGGCGUGGGCUGUCCAAUCCGGGCCACACAUACAUCACAUCACACCACCUGAUCAUGGCUUCCUCCCACACGAGACAGCCCGCCACCAUCUCAACCACAUCCUCUCCCUCAUCAAAUCCGCCCUCGAAACCGCCCAAAUUACAGCCCAUGCCAUCGACUGCCUCUGCUACACAAAGGGCCCCGGCAUGGGCGCCCCUCUCCAGGUCCCCGCCAUCGCCGUCCGCGUCCUCUCCCAGCUUUGAAUCAAGCCCAUCGUGGCCGUCGAUCCCUGCGUCGCCCAUAUCGAGAUGGGCCGGGUCGUGACCGGGGCUGACGACCCUAUCGUGCUCUAUGUCAUCGGCGGCAACACUCAGGUCAUCACCUACAACGAGGGGCGGCAUCGUAUCUUCAUGAGACAAUCGACAUUGCCGUCGGGAAUUGCUUGGAUCGGUUUGCAAGGCUCCUGACACAGUCCAAUGACCCGAGCCCUUGGUACAAGAUCGAGCAGCUUGCAAAGAAAGGAAAGCUAUUUCUAGAUAUUCCUUAUGUUUUGAAGGGAAUGGAUGUUUCUUUUAGCGGGAUCUUGAGCUACAUUGAAGCUUCUGCUGCUGAGAAGCUGAAAAACAAUGAGUGCACCCCUCCAGAUCUGUGCUACUCCUUGCAGAGUGUGCAAUGGCAAAUUGGGACAAGAAAGAUGUUCUCAUUGUUGGUGGUGUUGGAUGCAAUGAAUGCUUGCAAGAGAUGAUGAGGACAAUGUGCUUCGAGAGGGGUGGCCAGCUUUUUGCAACUGACGAUGGGCACUGCAUUGAUAAUGGAGUGAUGAUAGCAUAUACUGGCCUUCUUGCUUAUGCCCGUGGUGUGACAACCCCACUAGAGGAAGCAACAGUCAACCCAGAGGUUCUGAACUGACAAAGUCGAAGCAAUCUGGAGAGUGAAGAACACACCAGAUGCUGAUGGGAUUUGUGGCAGUGUUCGAAUUGAUGGGAUUUGUGAUGAGCUCUAAGGAACUUGUGAUGCUGCUUACUUGAGAGCUCAAAUCCAAGGGAGAUGUAUCAUGCAUGGGACUUUCCCUUGUUUUGGCACUUGGACUGCAGACGUGACAUACAUGAACUCAAAUUGAAUGUUUGCUGGUAUUGGUGGAGACUUGUUUACUGAAGUCAAGAUAUUUCUCAUCUCAACCAUCCAAUGAUGUCCACCAACUGUUUGAUGGAUGCAGGAAAGGAAAAGGCAAAGACGACAGGCAGCAGUGACAGUGGUAAAAGCAUAAAAGUGCAGGCGCCUUCCCCACCGACCUAAGGCAACAAACUACAAUUUUUAUUUAGGAACACGAAGGAGAGGGAUGGUAAGGGAUUACCUGUGGUUUAUAGCUCACAUGCCAAAAUGGCACAUGUAUGGGAGGUCUGGAGGAUUUUUUAGGUAGGGCCGAUCGUGAAUGUUCCAUGUCCACUAAAUCAGUCCAAUUCACUGAUGUGACAGGCUGCACAUAUGGGGUCCACCUAACGAGUGGAACUUGCCAUUGCAAACAGGGCCUGUUGACUUUGGGCACCAUCAAGCGUAUGGCCUGAAUCUCACAAGCGUUGUGGCAUGUCCUCAGUUCACAUGUUUAAGCUCUCCUUCCGCUACUUGAGCAUCACUUGGACUCUCGACAGCAACAGGUAUCUCUCAUUACAGUGGAAAAUGCCUCUAGAUUAAUAUCUUUGGGAAGAAACAAAUUCACUUAUUAUUUUCUGAUGAAAAGCAUGGUUGAUUUAUAAUACAAGCAACAUAUGACACUUUUGUUGUGAAAUCAGUUUCAUUUCCAACCAUAACAGCUCUUUUGGACAUGAGAAAUUCAAGGAAAAAAUAUGAAAAAAAAAAA